UAAGAAGUAGUAAAAUGGAAUUACAGAGGGUUUUGAUCUCUCAGGCAUAGGUUCAAUUCCUGUCUUCUUAA
rnacentral:tRNA from 1 species